rnacentral:rRNA from 1 species
GACGAGGCACUACGGUGCUGAAGCAACAAAUGCCCUGCUUCCAGGAAAAGCCUCUAAGCAUCAGGUAACACGAAAUCGUACCCCAAACCGACACAGGUGGUCAGGUAGAGAAUACCAAGGCGCUUGAGAGAACUCGGGUGAAGGAACUAGGCAAAAUGGUGCCGUAACUUCGGGAGAAGGCACGCUGACACGUAGGUGAAGUGAUUUACUCAUGGAGCUGAAGUCAGUCGAAGAUACCAGCUGGCUGCAACUGUUUAUUAAAAACACAGCACUGUGCAAACACGAAAGUGGACGUAUACGGUGUGACGCCUGCCCGGUGCCGGAAGGUUAAUUGAUGGGGUCAGCGCAAGCGAAGCUCCUGAUCGAAGCCCCGGUAAACGGCGGCCGUAACUAUAACGGUCCUAAGGUAGCGAAAUUCCUUGUCGGGUAAGUUCCGACCUGCACGAAUGGCGUAAUGAUGGCCAGGCUGUCUCCACCCGAGACUCAGUGAAAUUGAACUCGCUGUGAAGAUGCAGUGUACCCGCGGCAAGACGGAAAGACCCCGUGAACCUUUACUAUAGCUUGACACUGAACAUUGAGCCUUGAUGUGUAGGAUAGGUGGGAGGCUUUGAAGUGUGGACGCCAGUCUGCAUGGAGCCGACCUUGAAAUACCACCCUUUAAUGUUUGAUGUUCUAACGUGGACCCGUAAUCCGGGUUGCGGACAGUGUCUGGUGGGUAGUUUGACUGGGGCGGUCUCCUCCUAAAGAGUAACGGAGGAGCACGAAGGUUGGCUAAUCCUGGUCGGACAUCAGGAGGUUAGUGCAAUGGCAUAAGCCAGCUUGACUGCGAGCGUGACGGCGCGAGCAGGUGCGAAAGCAGGUCAUAGUGAUCCGGUGGUUCUGAAUGGAAGGGCCAUCGCUCAACGGAUAAAAGGUACUCCGGGGAUAACAGGCUGAUACCGCCCAAGAGUUCAUAUCGACGGCGGUGUUUGGCACCUCGAUGUCGGCUCAUCACAUCCUGGGGCUGAAGUAGGUCCCAAGGGUAUGGCUGUUCGCCAUUUAAAGUGGUACGCGAGCUGGGUUUAGAACGUCGUGAGACAGUUCGGUCCCUAUCUGCCGUGGGCGCUGGAGAACUGAGGGGGGCUGCUCCUAGUACGAGAGGACCGGAGUGGACGCAUCACUGGUGUUCGGGUUGUCAUGCCAAUGGCACUGCCCGGUAGCUAAAUGCGGAAGAGAUAAGUGCUGAAAGCAUCUAAGCACGAAACUUGCCCCGAGAUGAGUUCUCCCUGAGACUUUAGGUCUCCUGAAGGAACGUUGAAGACGACGACGUUGAUAGG